rnacentral:rRNA from 1 species
UACGAAGGGGGCUAGCGUUGCUCGGAAUUACUGGGCGUAAAGGGCGCGUAGGCGGAUACUUAAGUCGGGGGUGAAAGCCCAGGGCUCAACCCUGGAAUAGCCUUCGAUACUGGGUAUCUUGAGUUCGGGAGAGGUGAGUGGAACUCCGAGUGUAGAGGUGAAAUUCGUAGAUAUUCGGAAGAACACCAGUGGCGAAGGCGACUUACUGGUCCAUGACUGACGCUGAGGCUCGAAAGCGUGGGGAGCGAACAGG